rnacentral:siRNA from 1 species
CGAUUACCGUCGGAUCUAUCGAUA